UACAGGGGGGGCAAGCGUUGUUCGGAAUUACUGGGCGUAAAGGGCCAGUAGGCGGCCGACUAAGUCCGACGUGAAAUCCCCAGGCUUAACCUGGGAACUGCGUCGGAUACUGGUUGGCUUGAAUUCGGGAGAGGGAUGCAGAAUUCCAGGUGUAGCGGUGAAAUGCGUAGAUAUCUGGAGGAAUACCGGUGGCGAAGGCGGCAUCCUGGACCGACAUUGACGCUGAGGUGCGAAAGCGUGGGGAGCAAACAGG
rnacentral:rRNA from 1 species